GGGAACUGGAGUCAGUUGGCUGCUGUGAGGAUGAGGAAGAGUCAGUGCCUGGAGGAGCUGCCUACAAGAAACAUCAAGGAGCUCUUUCAGGUUUGAAAAAUAUAAUAGCUGCACAAAACAGUGUGACUCCAGGGGCAGGGGGCACUAGGCCUUGAAGUGGAAAGAAACAGAAAACACACAAUCAGCCAUAGCUGCAGUUUCACCAGGAAUCAGCCAAGAUGGACCUACCCUGCAGAGGUUACAGGUGUCAAUGUGUCUCUGCUACAAAAUGGCUGAUUUCCAUGGAGGCUCCAGGACUUGCAAGGAAACCUUACAGUCUACAGCAGAAGAGAGACCCUGCCUGUGGGGUCCUGGACCAGGCUGGACUGCUGGCUUGGUGCGUGAGGACUUCAAGGCUGCCCAUUAGCAAGCCUUAACCUGCCCUUGCAGAGCAGGCCUAGGAGAGCCAUGGACAGACCAAUGUCCUUGGAUUUGCCUAACUGCACUGACACUGAGGUCAAGAGACCAAAGAAAACCUAAACCCAUGAGGCUGUCUCCUCAGAAGCACUUAAAAGAACUUGGUACUUCUGCAAACAGGGUUUCUUAGCUUUUUUUAAAGGGUUUCUUCAGUCUCCCAAGUGUAGACUAAGAUGGGAUGCAGCAGUCUCUAAGACAGGAACACGCUGUGCUACUGAGACUUGACAGCAUGCAGGGAUAACAGCAGUGCUCCAUCAGCAUGGUGCCAUGGCU